CUGUGUGUGAUCCAUUGCUCUAGGUAGAAACAUCAUGGAACCGUAGUGUUAAUUUUUAUGCCCUACAUUCUACCGCAAAUACAUUUCGAUUUGCAUAUUUUGAGUCCUGCUACUACUAAUUUGACUUAUGAUGUCCAUGGUUUAGGAUGAUUAGUCGCAGCUCACUUCUAUCAUGAGUUUCUUAUUUGCAGGUGAUGAUCUUGCUGCAACUUGUUUGCUGCCUUGGUUUACAGUGAGCUAGCUGCUGCAGCCCUUUUGUUUCUUUAGAGGACACAGAAGAAACGCCGCCAUGGAAUCAGGCAACCAAUAACCAGAGCGCAGCUGUCAACUCAUUUUAUUCAUUGGCCAGACUACGAAGCAUGGAAAGAGCAUCCAGGAGGAAAUAAUAUGCGUACACCAUGAUGGACACUGAGAAAUCUGACAUACAGUUAUGGCGUUGUGCGGUUGGAGAUGCUAAUAGGUAGUGCACAUGUGCAACAAAUAUAACUGGGAGGUGAUCCUGUAACAUGGGCAAAAAAUUACAUCAGGGACAAUUCUCUGGGCCCAGGGAUCCUCGACACUAAUCUGGAUUUGGAAGAUAAAGCUGCUGUCGAUCAUUGAUUUCUUGAAAAUUGCUCUGCUAUGUAGUUACCUGUCGCUGUAUGAGAGAUUGUCGGCAUGUUGUACUUAUGUUAAGCGAGUCGAAAGAUAGGGCCUGGGCGAGCUCCACAUCCUUGUCUGCUUCUGAUCAUUCUUCCAAGAAGGAUAGCUCAUGAUGUAUGUUUAUAUAAGUUCGGUUAGUGAAGGCAAUACCCGUUGUUCCCUUUACCUUGUUAUUACUUAUGGUGGGGAUUUGUGGAGUCUGCACUCAUUCUUUCAAACUGGAAUACCAGUUUUUUGUGAUGUUUAUUUCUCCAGGAUCCUAGCCCCUGUGCUCCUUUAGCUGAAGUGGAAACAUUUUUGACAA